rnacentral:tRNA from 2 species
GGUCAGGUAGCUCAGUAGGUAGAGCGCGCGACUGAAAAUCGCGAGGUCGGCGGUUCGACCCCGCCCCUGACCACCG